UCGACCUAAGAUACCGCUGCACUCAGUAAUGCCUUCUUUAUUUGAGAACAGAACAUUCUCUUCUUUUCUCUUUCCGCUACUCUCCCCCACAACACUUCAAGCUCUUCUCGUCUUCGCCAUGGAUGAAGAAUACGACGUCAUCGUCCUCGGCACCGGGCUCAAGGAGUGCAUACUUAAUGGCUUCUCUCUGUCGAUGGCUUUAAGGUCUACUCUCGCCCCUCCCCCUCUUUGCCUGAUUUCUUAGGUGUUCAAUCGCAUUUUACUUUCUUAUGUUUUUAUUUUUGUUUUGAUCUUGUUAUUUCUUAUCAAGUGGUUAGGAAGCAGUUCCAGUGAUUAAAACUCGAGCUUGGAUUCUCGUAGUCUUGAUUGAUCUGCGUUUCUGAUUGAAGAAGAUGGUUUUCCCGCUUUUGUUUGCAUGUAAUGCUUGGUGAUGCUUGAUUUUUUAGUUCGACAAGAGUCGAAAAAUUGGGUUUUGAUUGGCUAUGCUGAGCGUGUGUUCCAGUGAUCGUGACUUCAUUUAGCUCAAGUGAAAAUUUGGGCCGUAUUAGUAGAUUUAUUACAUAAGCUGGUGAUUCUUUGCUUGUUUUAUGUAGAUGAGUGUGCUGAGAAGCUCUUUUUUCUUUACCUGGUCACACAUCUGGUGGAUUUUUCUUUCUCUGAUGUUUAGGUUUACUUUUUCCUGAUUGUGGCCAAUCGUAUGAUCAGUACGGGCUUUGCCUUGCUCCUAAUUUUGAAUUGAGUAAGACAUGAGGUGAAGUUGUGAUAACUUGCGUCAUUGGCAUGUUUGUUUCCUCAAUUUGUACGAUUCUGUAAAUUGAUAUGGCAGUAUGUGACUCGAAAGUCUUACCCUGCUUGGUGUCAAGUACUCAAGUUUGACAUAAAUGACAUAAACCAAAUAAUCUUAUAAUAUCCCAAAUGGUCAUGUACUUUUCAUCUUCAAUAGAAUUAUUUGGAUUUUUUUUUUUUUUUUGUAUAACUGCAUGUUGAGAAUGUUGAAUGGACAUAAGCAGCCAUGUUUUCUUUCAAAAAGCUACCAUUGAUGCAUUUCAUAAUAGAAUGAAGCGGCCUCCUGCCUGAAUAAUUAGAUAGCAUGAAUUAUCUUUACAUAUUUUUGGCAAACUUUUCUGCUCCACAUUGAGUUCACGUCAUGAAUGAAAUGUUGUAUUUUGCUAAUGAUUUCCAUUGCUCCUUUUAAUAUUAAUUCUUUAGCUUUUUACCUGGGAAAGUUUGUCUUCUUUCUUUUUAUGACUAAUUGAAGGGGAACCUUCAUGCAACAGUAAAGUUGAUGUCGUAUGACCUUAUGGUCAUGGGUUUAAAUCACUGAAACAAUCUCUUGCAAUGUAGGAUAAGACUAUAUACAAUAGAUCUAAUAUGGUCUGACACUUCCUUGGGACCCUGUAUUGGUGGAAGACUCUUGCAUGUCCUCUGUUCUCUUUAUCAUGAUAUUUUCUUCCUCUUUGAACCCCGUAUUGGUGGAAGCCUCUUGCAUGCCCUCUGUUCUCUUUAUCACAACAUCUUCUUCCUCUUUACUUCCCCUACUCUCUCACUUUAACUUAUCGAUGCUAGAAGUUGGAACUCUUUAGAAGCAAUUAAUGAUGUACGUUGUGUUUUAUUGAUCUGAAAGCUAACUUGUGAAUUGUAUUGUACAUCUAGUUUAUGAUGGCUAAUUGUAUCCUGGUAUGCACACUUAUACAUACUGAUGCCAUAAAAUCUCUCUCUUUCAAAUUCGUUGAUGGUAGCUAUCUUUAAUAUAGGAAAGGUAUGCCUUCCCAUAUUUUCUAUUUACUUUGUGGUGCUUGUAGUCUAUCACAUUUAUUGACUUGUGGAUUGUGGUAAUGCUGACACCACUUUGUGCUGUUCUGUUUUGAUUGGAAUAGAUCUACAAGGUCCCUGCUACUGAUAUAGAGGCACUAAAGUCUCCGAUAAUGGGAUUUUUUGAGAAGCGCCAAGCUCAGAAAUUCAUCAUCUAUGUCCAAAACUAUGAUGAAACCGAUCCAAAAACUCAUGAAGGAUUGGACCUUACUAAAAUGACUACAAAGGAACUUAUUUCAUGUGUAUCAUGUUAUUGUUGAUUGAAUUAGAUUCCAUUAUAGGAACUUGCUUGUGAAAUUUCAUGACAUGCUUACUCACAAGUCACAAAGCACACAUAGUAUUUUCAUGUAUUAUUAUGUACUAAUCAUUUACUUUUCUUCUUAGCUGUCUUGCCAAAAUUUUGUAGUCAAAUAGAUGCCUGCAAAGAUUAUCACUGUCUUAGAUCCAAUUAGCUAGUUUGGUUUAAGGGAAAAUAAAACUAGGUAGAUUUCUGCUCUGCUCCUAUCAUUCUGUAUUCUUGCUGCACUAUCGACUAACUUUCUAUGUGGUUUUAGAAAAUAUGGUUUGGAUGAGAACACAAUUGACUUCAUUGGCCAUGCCUUGGCUCUUCAUAUAGAUGAUCAAUAUCUAUAUGAGCCUGCAUUUGAUACUGUGAAGAAGAUGAAGUCAUAACAUCCACCAAAUGGUUUGAAGCUUUGAGCAGCAGCCAAACACUAGGAGGCUUUUGCAUGCCUUAGUGCUGUUUAUGGUGGAACAUACAUGUUAAAUAAACCAGAAUGCAAGGUUGAAUUUGACCGAGAAGGAAAAGCUUGUGGAGUAACUUCAGAAGGGGAAACAGCUAGGUGCAAGAAAGUUGUCUGUGAUCCUUCCUGCUUACCGAACAAGGUUAGGAAAGUAGGGAAGGUUGCAAGGGCAAUUGCUAUUAUGAUCCAUCCUAUCCCAAAUACGGAUGAGUCACAUUCAGCACAAGUUAUUUUGCCCCAGAAGCAACUUGGACGCAAGUCUGAUAAUGAUUUGCAGGUAUCUCUUUUGUUGUUCAUACUCUCACAAUGUUGCUCCUAAAGGGAAGUUUAUAUAUUCUCUCUUUUGUUGUUUGUACUCUCUUUUGUUGUUCUGAAUGGUUGAUCAAAUGGAUUCAAACACUUCACUCUUCUUUUUGGUGGAGAGUGCAUAAUAUUAAUCUACAAUCCUUAAUUGCAUUCUUCUAAAAAGCGGUUUAGGUGGCUGCCUAAGUGGAAUUAGAAGGGGACUGCUUUGCCAAGUGAUUACGCGCUCCCCUUACGGUGCUUGUUUCAAAAAGCAGUUUAGACGGACUUCCUAGGUAGCCUAAGCAAUCCUGCAGACUCUCAAUCUCAGCAUGGAUCUAAGCGCAGCCAGUGCCACUGAAGAAUAUUAACAACCACCUCUUCUUGUCCACUGUUAACUCACCGACGAUGGAGCUAUAUCACCGUGUCAGAGGAUUGCCAUAAUUUACCUCCAUCAAGCUUUGUUCUGCCAUCAAAUUGUUGCAAUGGUUUAAUUAUCAUGCGAAAAGCAACCUUGGUUGUAGAUUUUUGUGAUGUCCAAAGCACUAACCUGUUGAAGAGUUUUCUGGUUUGCUACAUGUCUCCUUUUGCAUGUUCUUGAUGUUGCUACGUACAAAUUCAAUGGCCAAAACGCCCAAUGGAUGUGUUGAAUUAGUUGACUAGGAUUUGAGUUUGUUUUUCUGCAUUGGAAAAUGUACAAUAUGACAAAGAUCAUGGAUGAUGCAUCACAUGUAUGUUGAAUCUAUCCUUGGAUAAGUAUAAGUUCUCAUUGGCAUGAGCAUUGCUCGAU